GCUCUACAACUGAACCACACCCCCCAGGAGUUCUGAUGGCUCCCGCCCAAAUCUCAUACCUAUAGGCUGCAGGCAGUGAAAGGUCCCGCACCUGAGCUUCCCACAAGCUCGGAGAUGGUCCUACCUUCCCGGAGCUGUGACAUCACCAGGUGGCGGUCACUCACACCCGUCCCAGACACAGGCUGGGAAGCAACCCAGGGAAGAGAGACUUCGCCUCUCUGGGGACAUCCCACAAUAGCCAUCUGUCCUUGCUGGGGAAUGUCUUCCUUUGGGAGCAUUCCCACAGCCUGAUGCCGCCCCUCCCCAUCUGACGAUGUCAAGGCUGUUUGACCUGGUAGCUGCUGACAGGGAGUGGGCAUCCCUCCCUUGGGGACCCUGCUCCUUCCUAACUGUCUGGAACCUGACCACCAGCGUGACACGUAUCAAAUUCCGGUCCCUGAAGCUCACCUAAAUCUUUAUCCAAGUCCACCCUGUGCGUCACGCGGUUCCGGGCACAGGGACACGCCGCCACCACCCAGACGUCCCCCUGGCUUGCGCUGGCUGGAACCCCCCCGCUCUGCAGCACUACCUGCACCCACCCCGGUAUCAGGCCCCCUCCAGGUCCCUUCCUGUGGCUGCUCUCCAUGCACUCCCUACCUCGCAGCCCGGUGUCCUCCGGAACUGCCCCAGAGCAGUUUGGUGUGCGGGCCACAGGGAUCAAACCAGUCCUGGUAUGACGUCAGCACGCGAGACUAGGACCGAAGCGGGAUCCGGUGGAAAGUGCUAAAGGAGGACGGUAGGAAACGGUGCCACACCCUCCCCAGUGGCGCUCAGACUUCUGAUGUCUUGUCUGCUCAGGAGCACGUGGGACUCGGACACUCCCAGCAACGUGUGCUUCAGAGCUCAUCUCAUAGCCGGAGGAGAAGCCGGCACAUCCCAGCCUAGGACACCAGAGGAAAAGUCAAACGGGGUGGGGGUGGGGCAAGGAGGUUGAGGGCUCCGGGCCAAUCUGGGUUAUAUAUAGUGAGAAGUUGUCUCAAAUACAAUCAAAGCCAAAGCUAAACAA